rnacentral:rRNA from 1 species
CGCCUCCUGCAACAAUCAAUGUAUAAGAGGUCCUACCUGCCCAGUGACUAAGUUAAACGGCCGCGGUAUCCUAACCGUGCGAAGGUAGCGCAAUCACUUGUUUUUUAAAUGAAGACCUGUAUGAAUGGUGAAACGAGGGCUUAACUGUCUCCCCUUUCUAAUCAGUGAAAUUGAUUUACCCGUGCAGAAGCGGGUAUAAAUAUACAAGACGAGAAGACCCUAUGGAGCUUAAGACACCAAAUCAACUAUGCCAAAGCUCCCCCAUAAAUGGGAUUAAACCUUAUAGUACUGAUUAACGUCUUCGAUUGGGGCAAUCGCGGGGAAAAAUAAAUCCCCCAUGUGAAGCAAGACACUUUCUCAAAACUACGAGAUACACCUCUAAGCCACAGAACCUCUGACCGCAAGAUCCGGCAUUUGACCGAUCAACGGACCAAGUUACCCUAGGGAUAACAGCGCAAUCCCCUCCAAGAGUCCAUAUCGACAAGGGGGUUUACGACCUCGAUGUUGGAUCAGGACAUCCUAAUGGUGCAGCCGCUAUUAAGGGUUCGUUUGUUCAACGAUUAAAGUCCU